AUUGAACGCUGGCGGCAGGCCUAACACAUGCAAGUCGAGCGGAUGAAGGGAGCUUGCUCCUGGAUUCCGCGGCGGACGGGUGAGUAAUGCCUAGGAAUCUGCCUGGUAGUGGGGGAUAACGUCCGGAAACGAGCGCUAAUACCGCAUACGUCCAGAGGGAGAAAGUGGGGGAUCUUCGGACAUCACGCUAUCAGAUGAGCCUAGGUCGGAUUAGCUAGUUGGUGGGGUAAAGGCCUACCAAGGCGACGAUCCGUAACUGGUCUGAGAGGAUGAUCAGUCACCCUGGAACUGAGACACGGUCCAGACUCCUACGGGAGGCAGCAGUGGGGAAUAUUGGACAGUGGGCGAAAGCCUGAUCCAGCCAUGCCGCGUGUGUGAAGAAGGUCUUCGGAUUGUAAAGCACUUUAAGUUGGGAGGAAGGGCAGUAAGUUAAUACCUUGCUGUUUUGACGUUACCAACAGAAUAAGCACCGGCUAACUUCGUG
rnacentral:rRNA from 1 species